AACAAACGCUGGCGGCGUGCCUAACGCAUGCAAGUCGUACGAGAAAGGGUCCUUCGGGGCCUGAGUAAAGUGGCGCACGGGUGAGUAACGCGUGGAUAAUCUGCCCUUCAGUUGGGGAUAACUCAUCGAAAGGUGGGCUAAUACCGAAUAAUGCUGUGAGACCUCGGUUGAUCAGCCAAAGAGAGCCUCUGCUUGCAAGCCCUCGCUGAAGGAUGAGUCCGCGUACCAUUAGCUAGUUGGUAGGGUAAUGGCCUACCAAGGCGACGAUGGUUAGCUGGUCUGAGAGGAGGAUCAGGCACACUGGAGCUGAGACACGGUCCAGACUCCUACGGGGGGCAGCAGUGAGGAAUCUUGCGCAAUGGGGGCAACCCUGACGCAGCAACGCCGCGUGAGUGAGGAAGGUCUUCGGAUCGUAAAGCUCUGUCGGAUGGAAAGAACCGCAUAGGGGUAAACAGCCCCUGUGUCUGACGGUACCAUCAAAGGAAGCACCGGCUAACUCCGUGCCAGCCGCCGCCGUAACAC
rnacentral:rRNA from 1 species